rnacentral:rRNA from 1 species
GCAAGUUGAGCGCUUGAGGGGGGCAACCCCCAAGAGAGCAGCGAACGGGUGAGUAACGCGUGGGUGAUCUUCCUUCGAGUGGGGAACAACAUCGGGAAACUGGUGCUAAUUCCGCAUAAUACCCUGGGGCUACGAGCCUCAGGAUCAAAGCCGGGGACCGUAAGGCCUGGCGCUUGAAGAUGAGCCCGCGUCCGAUUAGCUAGUUGGCGGGGUAAUGGCCCACCAAGGCUCCGAUCGGUAGCCGGCCUGAGAGGGCGGAC